GCCAGUGUGGUAUAAUGGUUUGAAUGUUGGACUAUGUCACUGGUGACCAGGGUUUGAUUCCCAGCUCUGCCA